CCUAUUUAUUAUUUAAUUGGGUUUCCAAUCCAUUCUCUCUUGCCUUCCCACAGUGGCAUUAUCCCUGAGAAAUAUAUAUACUUCAGCUUCACUCAGUUUACAUUUGAAUCAUGAAGUCAUCAUCUGCAACUUUAAACCACAGACUGGCUGCUAGGGCUCUUCUUGGAGCAGACAAUGACUCUUCAGUCAACAGCCCUCGGGGGUCUACACCAUUAAGUAUGCAUUUAUAUAUAUUUUUAAAAAUGUUUAGUUCUAGACCCAGGAUUUGUGUAAAUGUCACAAAUAACUUUGCUAACUUCUAGUCUCUACUAAGAAAAGGGACCCCCUUCAUCUGAAUGGCUUUAAUAUAUGUGGUUUUGCAUAGUCUAGAAGGAAGAGCUCACACCAAUUCCACUUUCAGCAAAUCCCUGCUUUGUCUCACCCUGUUGCUAAUAAUCCACAUGGGAAAGUAGUGGGGUAGGGUCAUUUUCAGGAAGGAAAUUGAUCGUUUUCCUUACAUAGAUAUACAUUUCCAUUUGGGCUUAAAUUUCUGCUUUGGUCAAGCUCUGCUCUUUUGCCCCAGUAGAAAAAUAAAGCCAAGGAAAAUCCACA
rnacentral:lncRNA from 1 species